rnacentral:rRNA from 1 species
GAUGAACGCUGGCGGCGUGCCUAAUACAUGCAAGUCGAGCGAACGGACGAGAAGCUUGCUUCUCUGAUGUUAGCGGCGGACGGGUGAGUAACACGUGGAUAACCUACCUAUAAGACUGGGAUAACUUCGGGAAACCGGAGCUAAUACCGGAUAAUAUUUUGAACCGCAUGGUUCAAAAGUGAAAGACGGUCUUGCUGUCACUUAUAGAUGGAUCCGCGCUGCAUUAGCUAGUUGGUAAGGUAACGGCUUACCAAGGCAACGAUGCAUAGCCGACCUGAGAGGGUGAUCGGCCACACUGGAACUGAGACACGGUCCAGAAUCCUAAGGGAGGCAGCAGGAGGGAAUCUUCCGCAAUGGGCGAAAGCCUGACGGAGCAACGCCGCGUGAGUGAUGAAGGUCUUCGGAUCGUAAAACUCUGUUAUUAGGGAAGAACAUAUGUGUAAGUAACUGUGCACAUCUUGACGGUACCUAAUCAGAAAGCCACGGCUAACUACGUG